UACGUAGGGGGCAAGCGUUAUCCGGAAUUAUUGGGCGUAAAGGGUUCGUAGGCGGUUAUAUAAGUCUGAGGUAAAAGACUGGAGCUCAACUCCAGCGAGCCUUGGAAACUGUGUAACUUGAGUACAGCAGAGGUAAGUGGAAUUUCUUGUGUAGCGGUGGAAUGCGUAGAUAUAAGAAGGAACACCAGUGGCGAAGGCGGCUUACUGGGCUGAAACUGACGCUGAGGAACGAAAGCGUGGGGAGCGAAAGGG
rnacentral:rRNA from 1 species